AGUGAACGCUGGCGGUAGGCCUAACACAUGCAAGUCGAACGGCAGCACAGUAAGAGCUUGCUCUUACGGGUGGCGAGUGGCGGACGGGUGAGGAAUACAUCGGAAUCUACUUUUUCGUGGGGGAUAACGUAGGGAAACUUACGCUAAUACCGCAUACGACCUACGGGUGAAAGCAGGGGAUCUUCGGACCUUGCGCGAUUGAAUGAGCCGAUGUCGGAUUAGCUAGUUGGCGAGGUAAAGGCCCACCAAGGCGACGAUCCGUAGCUGGUCUGAGAGGAUGAUCAGCCACACUGGAACUGAGACACGGUCCAGACUCCUACGGGAGGCAGCAGUGGGGAAUAUUGGACAAUGGGCGCAAGCCUGAUCCAGCCAUACCGCGUGAGUGAAGAAGGCCUUCGGGUUGUAAAGCCCUUUUGUUAGGAAAGAAAAGCAGCAGGUUAAUACCCCGCUGUUCUGACGGUACCCAAAGAAUAAGCACCGGCUAACUUCGUG
rnacentral:rRNA from 1 species